CGUAGGUAACCUGCCUCUUAGCGGGGGAUAACUAUUGGAAACGAUAGCUAAUACCGCAUAAAAGUCGAUAUCGCAUGAUAUUGAUUUGAAAGGUGCAAAUGCAUCACUAAGAGAUGGACCUGCGUUGUAUUAGCUAGUUGGUGAGGUAACGGCUCACCAAGGCGACGAUACAUAGCCGACCUGAGAGGGUGAUCGGCCACACUGGGACUGAGACACGGCCCAG
rnacentral:rRNA from 1 species